GAAGACUACGAGGUAGAAUUGCAACUUCUUUGGCUUUCAAUUUCUCUCUUUUAUUUAUUUUCAAAUUCAUCUCUUUUCGAUUUCAUUUGGUUUAGUUUCUUUCCUAAAAUUCAAUCUACAAGGAUAUCAAUCCAUGUUUUAGAAUUUUCUUUUUAUUUUCCAUUUUAUACGAAUUGAACGAUACUAAGUUGCAAUUUGUUUGCUCUAUAGGGCAUCGUCAAAUAAUUAACAAUUUUUUAUGAUGGAAAAUUUUAAAUCAAUUUUUGGUAUUAUUCAUAGUGGAAAUAGUAAUUAUAUAUCUUCAACACCUUACAAGGUUGUAAAUUUCAGCUAGGCUUUCGAUAAUGCAAUUGUUAGUCUGAAACUGUGGACUAACCUUGUUCUGAUAUUUAGUUUUCCUUUCUUUACCUAAGAGCAAUACUGGGUUUUAUGGAUGUUCCAAUGAAUCUCCCAUCCAUUUUUUAAAACAAUAUCACCAAUGUCCAGCAAGUUUUUAUCCAUUAUACCUUAUAUCUAAGAAAUCCUCAUAUGGGAUGUUCAUGAUGAGAAUCAUAUGGAUAAAAAUGUGCUUCCAUUUUUUUGUUGUGUUGAUUUUCUCUUUACUGCUUGCUUCCUCUUUGGGGGAGAAAGAAAUACUAUUGCAUAGCUACAAAUUUUCUUCGUCAGCAUACUAUUUCUUGCAAGUACCUUCUAGAUUGUCAUACGAUCAGCCGCAUAUUGCUUCUUCAGCAGUGGGUGCCUGUUGUUUAAAUGGUGGCAGCUGCUCCUUUGUGAAUGCUGGCUUACCACCGUCUUCACUAUGGGUUCCAAAAAUUGGGGAAAAUAAGCUUUUGUGGCAGCAGGAUAUUAGCAUUUGAAUGCACAGUACAACAAUAUAAAUGGGAUUACUACUGAAUUGAAUUGCUUUAUGCUAAUUCAAUUGAGAUAUGAGGGUGUUCAUUUAUGUACUACUUGAAUUUCAUUAGUCCUUACUCCUGUAAAUGCUGCUAAAAUUUGAUUAACUUUGAUAAUUUUGCACCUUAUCAAGUUCUGCAAAAUUUAUGUGACAUGGUGGAUUCUAGAGAGAGAGUGAGGAGUUUAUACUUCUUAAUUCAGUACUGCAUCUUACUAACUUUUUCAUCUGUAGUGUGAGUGCUUUCCCACUUUUGGCUUUCUUUAUUCUCAUCCUCACAGAUAUGGGCAUAAUGUUUUUACAGAUUGAAGAGAAAAAACAAGCUG
rnacentral:misc_RNA from 1 species